CGCGCGCCUGGCAACAGGCGUGGCAGGGCAAACCCCACCGGGAGCAAGACCAAAUAGGGGUGGCCGGGCGCAUGCGGUUCGCCGCAUGGCGCCAAGCCGGUUUCCUGGCCCGCCGCCCGGGUUGGUUGCAGGAGGCGACGCGUGAGCGUCGUCCCAGAUGAAUGGCCGUCGCGGAGGCAACUCCAGACAGAACCCGGCUUACAGGCCGACUGGUUAU
rnacentral:RNase_P_RNA from 1 species